GACGAACGCUGGCGGCGUGCUUAACACAUGCAAGUCGAACGGAAAGGCCCUGCUUUUGUGGGGUGCUCGAGUGGCGAACGGGUGAGUAACACGUGAGUAACCUGCCCUUGACUUUGGGAUAACUUCAGGAAACUGGGGCUAAUACCGGAUAGGAGCUCCUGCUGCAUGGUGGGGGUUGGAAAGUUUCGGCGGUUGGGGAUGGACUCGCGGCUUAUCAGCUUGUUGGUGGGGUAGUGGCUUACCAAGGCUUUGACGGGUAGCCGGCCUGAGAGGGUGACCGGGCACAAUGGGACUGAGAUACGGCCCAGACUCCUACGGGAGGCAGCAGGGGGGAAUAUUGCACAAUGGGCGGAAGCCUGAUGCAGCAACGCCGCGUGCGGGAUGACGGCCUUCGGGUUGUAAACCGCUUUCGCCUGUGACGAAGCGUGAGUGACGGUAAUGGGUAAAGAAGCACCGGCUAACUACGUG
rnacentral:rRNA from 1 species